GGGAUCCCAGGAAAGGGGCAGCAGAGACCAGAGAGGAAGGUAAAUGGAGCAUGAUGGCUGCCCGAAGAGCUGGUGCAACACAUGGAACAAUCUCACCUUCCUGCUGAUUCCCCCCCCCCCACCUUCCUGCUGAUUCCCUUACUGAUGAUGACGAUUCCUGCACACAGUGAAGUCCACUGGGCCUAUGUUCCUGACCCACCACUGAUACACUUCUUGGAUCUCCCUGGGCAAGGGAGUCAACUUAUAAUAAAACCAUGACUUUCAAUGCA
rnacentral:lncRNA from 1 species